rnacentral:tRNA from 1 species
GCCCACAUAGUGUAGCCCGGUCCAGCAUUUUUUUGCUGUAUUCCAGCGAAAAGCUAAAUCGGGACUGUCACUCCUGCGACGCGGGUUCAAAUCCCGCUGUGGGCGCCA